rnacentral:rRNA from 2 species
GGUUAAGCGACUAAGCGUACACGGUGGAUGCCCUGGCAGUCAGAGGCGAUGAAGGACGUGCUAAUCUGCGAAAAGCGUCGGUAAGGUGAUAUGAACCGUUACAGCCGGCGAUGUCCGAAUGGGGAAACCCAGUGCAAUUCGUUGCACUAUCGUUAACUGAAUACAUAGGUUAACGAGGCGAACCGGGGGAACUGAAACAUCUAAGUACCCCGAGGAAAAGAAAUCAACCGAGAUUCCCCCAGUAGCGGCGAGCGAACGGGGAGCAGCCCAGAGUCUGAAUCAGCUUGUGUGUUAGUGGAACGGUCUGGAAAGUCCGACGGUACAGGGUGAUAGUCCCGUACACCAAAAUGCACAGGCUGUGAACUCGAAGAGUAGGGCGGGACACGUGGUAUCCUGUCUGAAUAUGGGGGGACCAUCCUCCAAGGCUAAAUACUCCUGACUGACCGAUAGUGAACCAGUACCGUGAGGGAAAGGCGAAAAGAACCCCGGCGAGGGGAGUGAAAAAGAACCUGAAACCGUGUACGUACAAGCAGUGGGAGCACCUUCGGGUGUGACUGCGUACCUUUUGUAUAAUGGGUCAGCGACUUAUAUUCUGUAGCAAGGUUAACCGUAUAGGGGAGCCGCAGGGAAACCGAGUCUUAACUGGGCGUUAAGUUGCAGGGUAUAGACCCGAAACCCGGUGAUCUAGCCAUGGGCAGGUUGAAGGUUGGGUAACACUAACUGGAGGACCGAACCGACUAAUGUUGAAAAAUUAGCGGAUGACUUGUGGCUGGGGGUGAAAGGCCAAUCAAACCGGGAGAUAGCUGGUUCUCCCCGAAAGCUAUUUAGGUAGCGCCUCGUGAAUUCAUCUUCGGGGGUAGAGCACUGUUUCGGCUAGGGGGUCAUCCCGACUUACCAACCCGAUGCAAACUACGAAUACCGAAGAAUGUUAUCACGGGAGACACACGGCGGGUGCUAACGUCCGUCGUGAAGAGGGAAACAACCCAGACCGCCAGCUAAGGUCCCAAAGUCAUGGUUAAGUGGGAAACGAUGUGGGAAGGCACAGACAGCCAGGAUGUUGGCUUAGAAGCAGCCAUCAUUUAAAGAAAGCGUAAUAGCUCACUGGUCGAGUCGGCCUGCGCGGAAGAUGUAACGGGGCUAAACCAUGCACCGAAGCUGCGGCAGCGACACUAUGUGUUGUUGGGUAGGGGAGCGUUCUGUAAGCCUGCGAAGGUGUGCUGUGAGGCAUGCUGGAGGUAUCAGAAGUGCGAAUGCUGACAUAAGUAACGAUAAAGCGGGUGAAAAGCCCGCUCGCCGGAAGACCAAGGGUUCCUGUCCAACGUUAAUCGGGGCAGGGUGAGUCGACCCCUAAGGCGAGGCCGAAAGGCGUAGUCGAUGGGAAACAGGUUAAUAUUCCUGUACUUGGUGUUACUGCGAAGGGGGGACGGAGAAGGCUAUGUUAGCCGGGCGACGGUUGUCCCGGUUUAAGCAUGUAGGCUGAUUGUCCAGGCAAAUCCGGAUAAUCAAGGCUGAGGUGUGAUGACGAGGCACUACGGUGCUGAAGUAACAAAUGCCCUGCUUCCAGGAAAAGCCUCUAAGCAUCAGGUAACAUCAAAUCGUACCCCAAACCGACACAGGUGGUCAGGUAGAGAAUACCAAGGCGCUUGAGAGAACUCGGGUGAAGGAACUAGGCAAAAUGGUGCCGUAACUUCGGGAGAAGGCACGCUGGUGUGUAGGUGAAGUCCCUGCGGAUGGAGCUGAGACCAGUCGAAGAUACCAGCUGGCUGCAACUGUUUAUUAAAAACACAGCACUGUGCAAACACGAAAGUGGACGUAUACGGUGUGACGCCUGCCCGGUGCCGGAAGGUUAAUUGAUGGGGUUAUCCGUAAGGAGAAGCUCUUGAUCGAAGCCCCGGUAAACGGCGGCCGUAACUAUAACGGUCCUAAGGUAGCGAAAUUCCUUGUCGGGUAAGUUCCGACCUGCACGAAUGGCGUAAUGAUGGCCAGGCUGUCUCCACCCGAGACUCAGUGAAAUUGAACUCGCUGUGAAGAUGCAGUGUACCCGCGGCAAGACGGAAAGACCCCGUGAACCUUUACUAUAGCUUGACACUGAACAUUGAGCCUUGAUGUGUAGGAUAGGUGGGAGGCUUUGAAGCGUGGACGCCAGUCUGCGUGGAGCCAACCUUGAAAUACCACCCUUUAAUGUUUGAUGUUCUAACGUUGGCCCCUUACCGGGGUUGCGGACAGUGUCUGGUGGGUAGUUUGACUGGGGCGGUCUCCUCCCAAAGCGUAACGGAGGAGCACGAAGGUUAGCUAAUCCUGGUCGGACAUCAGGAGGUUAGUGCAAUGGCAUAAGCUAGCUUGACUGCGAGCGUGACGGCGCGAGCAGGUGCGAAAGCAGGUCAUAGUGAUCCGGUGGUUCUGAAUGGAAGGGCCAUCGCUCAACGGAUAAAAGGUACUCCGGGGAUAACAGGCUGAUACCGCCCAAGAGUUCAUAUCGACGGCGGUGUUUGGCACCUCGAUGUCGGCUCAUCACAUCCUGGGGCUGAAGUAGGUCCCAAGGGUAUGGCUGUUCGCCAUUUAAAGUGGUACGCGAGCUGGGUUUAGAACGUCGUGAGACAGUUCGGUCCCUAUCUGCCGUGGGCGCUGGAGAAUUGAGGGGGGCUGCUCCUAGUACGAGAGGACCGGAGUGGACGCAUCACUGGUGUUCGGGUUGUCAUGCCAAUGGCACUGCCCGGUAGCUAAAUGCGGAAGAGAUAAGUGCUGAAAGCAUCUAAGCACGAAACUUGCCCCGAGAUGAGUUCUCCCUGAGACUUUAAGUCUCCUGAAGGAACGUUAAAGACGAUGACGUUGAUAGGCCGGGUGUGUAAGCGCAGCGAUGCGUUGAGCUAACCGGUACUAAUGAACCGUGAGGCUUAACCUU